rnacentral:lncRNA from 1 species
GUGAAGGAGGUGUAAAAGGCACAAGAGGAAUCACCAUGUGGGCUGGUUUGUUUGUAGAUGGUGGUGGGGAAGAAAGCCUCAAAGAAUUGUAUCUGAUGCAGAAGAAAAGGGGGGUCUGAGGAAGGGGUGCUGUGAGUUCUGAAGGAAGGCUGUGUCUCAAAGUGAACCAAACCAUCUGGAAGAGAUAGUCCUAGCUGUGAAAACAGGGAGAUGGAAGGAAGCUGGGUGCUGGUAGCCAGGAGGCAAAGCUGCAGCUGGCCAUGCUGGCUCCGAACGGCGAGGGCAAUUAGAGAUCAGAAGAGCUGGGGUUGCUUCGUCACAUUUCCCUGCUGCUGUUCUGGAGGAUUCCUGUUUCAGGGAUUGCACCAAGAUGACAAACUAGAGAGUUUUCAAAAUGGAAACACAAUCCCCUGACUCCAGGAGCUCAGACUUAAACAUCAACAAAUAACUCAGGAUGCGGUGCGAGUGCUGAUGGAGCAGCUGACUCAGUGAGCGUGGAGGUGAGCAACUCAGGAGCCCCACAGAGCCCCACGGUCCUGAUUUGCUGAACCCAGUGGAAUGAAUUCCUAUACUGGAUGAUCCAUGUGCAUGGGCCUCCACAGGACCACGGCCAACAUUUGCAAAGUGCUGUGAGAUGCUUGGAUGAAAGAGACCACAGAAGCGCAAAGUAUUACUUUUUCAUGAUUGCUGCAAUUGCUAUCCUUGGGGCUGUCCAAAUACUGUUGUUCCAAGUGAAAAUAAAAAAUCCUUUUGGCA